UAAAUAAAGGAUAACCUAAAACAAGCAAAAAUAAUUUGUUAGGUUAUCGAUGUGGACAUCUACAGGGAGUUUUACACAAAGCUAGAUUAUCUUUGUGGACUUUCCGUAAUCUUUGUGGAAAAAAAUUGUGGAUUGAAAGAAAUUGCAAAUUCGGCUCUAGAAUCAAUUUGGUACGAAAUCUGUUGAGUUGUGUUUCGAAUUCACCUAGUUACACAAUUUAUAGAGCUUAUUAUGGUAAACUUUUUACUACUCGAGAUCUUAUUGCUAAUUUGUAUAAUAUCAUAAAUCUAUUUCCAUUAGAUAGACUAGAUCAUUGUGUUGCUUAAAUAUAUUUCUAUUCAGUGCUAGCACUGGAUUCAUCAAUUGAACUGUGAUCAGAAGUAACAGAACUAACAUUAAACCUAGAACUAGAAUCAUUUGGAUUUAGCCGCACGUCAUAAUGAUCUAUAUAAGAUCUUUGUUGGUCGGCCUACCAACCAACUUUGCUGGUUAUCGAUUGAUUUUGGUACCUAGGAACAUACUUGACUGAUUUCAUGGAUAUUUAUAACAGAAAUGUCAAAUAAAAUUUAAUCCAAAUUUAA